rnacentral:rRNA from 1 species
CCCUUAGAUGUUCUGGGCUGCACGCGCGCUACACUGAAGCGUUCAACGAGUAUUCACCUUGCCCGGGAGGGUUGGGUAAUCUUUUGAAAACGCUUCGUGAUGGGGAUAGAUUAUUGCAAUUAUUAAUCUUCAACGAGGAAUUCCUAGUAAACGCAAGUCAUCAACUUGCAUUGAUUACGUCCCUGCCCUUUGUACACACCGCCCGUCGCACCUACCGAUUGAAUGGUCCGGUGAAGCCUCCGGAUUGGCGCGCACCUCGGUGCCGCCGAGAAGUUGGCUAAACCUUACCAUUUAGAGGAAGGUGAAGUCGUAACA